rnacentral:rRNA from 1 species
GGUUAAGCGACUAAGCGUACACGGUGGAUGCCCUGGCAGUCAGAGGCGAUGAAGGACGUGCUAAUCUGCGAUAAGCGUCGGUAAGGUGAUAUGAACCGUUAUAACCGGCGAUUUCCGAAUGGGGAAACCCAGUGUGUUUCGACACACUAUCAUUAACUGAAUCCAUAGGUUAAUGAGGCGAACCGGGGAACUGAAACAUCUAAGUACCCCGAGGAAAAGAAAUCAACCGAGAUUCCCCAGUAGCGGCGAGCGAACGGGGAGGAGCCCAGAGCCUGAAUCAGUGUGUGUGUUAGUGGAAGCGUCUGGAAAGGCGCGCGAUACAGGGUGACAGCCCCGUACACAAAAAUGCACAUGCUGUGAGCUCGAUGAGUAGGGCGGGACACGUGGUAUCCUGUCUGAAUAUGGGGGACCAUCCUCCAAGGCUAAAUACUCCUGACUGACCGAUAGUGAACCAGUACCGUGAGGGAAAGGCGAAAAGAACCCCGGCGAGGGAGUGAAAAAGAACCUGAAACCGUGUACGUACAAGCAGUGGAAGCCUAUUUAUGGGGUGACUGCGUACCUUUUGUAUAAUGGGUCAGCGACUUAUAUUCUGUAGCAAGGUUAACCGAAUAGGGGAGCCGAAGGGAAACCGAGUCUUAACUGGGCGUUAAGUUGCAGGGUAUAGACCCGAAACCCGGUGAUCUAGCCAUGGGCAGGUUGAAGGUUGGGUAACACUAACUGGAGGACCGAACCGACUAAUGUUGAAAAAUUAGCGGAUGACUUGUGGCUGGGGGUGAAAGGCCAAUCAAACCGGGAGAUAGCUGGUUCUCCCCGAAAGCUAUUUAGGUAGCGCCUCGUGAAUUCAUCUCCGGGGUAGAGCACUGUUUCGGCAAGGGGGUCAUCCCGACUUACCAACCCGAUGCAAACUGCGAAUACCGGAGAAUGUUAUCACGGGAGACACACGGCGGGUGCUAACGUCCGUCGUGAAGAGGGAAACAACCCAGACCGCCAGUUAAGGUCCCAAAGUCAUGGUUAAGUGGGAAACGAUGUGGGAAGGCCCAGACAGCCAGGAUGUUGGCUUAGAAGCAGCCAUCAUUUAAAGAAAGCGUAAUAGCUCACUGGUCGAGUCGGCCUGCGCGGAAGAUGUAACGGGGCUAAACCAUGCACCGAAGCUGCGGCAGCGACGCUUAUGCGUUGUUGGGUAGGGGAGCGUUCUGUAAGCCUGCGAAGGUGUACUGUGAGGUAUGCUGGAGGUAUCAGAAGUGCGAAUGCUGACAUAAGUAACGAUAAAGCGGGUGAAAAGCCCGCUCGCCGGAAGACCAAGGGUUCCUGUCCAACGUUAAUCGGGGCAGGGUGAGUCGACCCCUAAGGCGAGGCCGAAAGGCGUAGUCGAUGGGAAACAGGUUAAUAUUCCUGUACUUGGUGUUACUGCGAAGGGGGACGGAGAAGGCUAUGUUGGUACGGGCGACGGUUGUCCCGGUUUAAGCGUGUAGGCUGGUUUUCCAGGCAAAUCCGGAAAAUCAAGGCUGAGGCGUGAUGACGAGGCACUACGGUGCUGAAGUAACAAAUGCCCUGCUUCCAGGAAAAGCCUCUAAGCAUCAGGUAACAUCAAAUCGUACCCCAAACCGACACAGGUGGUCAGGUAGAGAAUACCAAGGCGCUUGAGAGAACUCGGGUGAAGGAACUAGGCAAAAUGGUGCCGUAACUUCGGGAGAAGGCACGCUGAUAUGUAGGUGAAGCGACUUGCUCGUGGAGCUGAAAUCAGUCGAAGAUACCAGCUGGCUGCAACUGUUUAUUAAAAACACAGCACUGUGCAAACACGAAAGUGGACGUAUACGGUGUGACGCCUGCCCGGUGCCGGAAGGUUAAUUGAUGGGGUUAGCGGUAACGCGAAGCUCUUGAUCGAAGCCCCGGUAAACGGCGGUACCGUAACUAUAACGGUCCUAAGGUAGCGAAAUUCCUUGUCGGGUAAGUUCCGACCUGCACGAAUGGCGUAAUGAUGGCCAGGCUGUCUCCACCCGAGACUCAGUGAAAUUGAACUCGCUGUGAAGAUGCAGUGUACCCGCGGCAAGACGGAAAGACCCCGUGAACCUUUACUAUAGCUUGACACUGAACAUUGAGCCUUGAUGUGUAGGAUAGGUGGGAGGCUUUGAAGUGUGGACGCCAGUCUGCAUGGAGCCGACCUUGAAAUACCACCCUUUAAUGUUUGAUGUUCUAACGUUGGCCCCUAAUCGGGGUUGCGGACAGUGUCUGGUGGGUAGUUUGACUGGGGCGGUCUCCUCCUAAAGAGUAACGGAGGAGCACGAAGGUUGGCUAAUCCUGGUCGGACAUCAGGAGGUUAGUGCAAUGGCAUAAGCCAGCUUGACUGCGAGCGUGACGGCGCGAGCAGGUGCGAAAGCAGGUCAUAGUGAUCCGGUGGUUCUGAAUGGAAGGGCCAUCGCUCAACGGAUAAAAGGUACUCCGGGGAUAACAGGCUGAUACCGCCCAAGAGUUCAUAUCGACGGCGGUGUUUGGCACCUCGAUGUCGGCUCAUCACAUCCUGGGGCUGAAGUAGGUCCCAAGGGUAUGGCUGUUCGCCAUUUAAAGUGGUACGCGAGCUGGGUUUAGAACGUCGUGAGACAGUUCGGUCCCUAUCUCGCCGUGGGCGCUGGAGAACUGAGGGGGCUGCUCCUAGUACGAGAGGACCGGAGUGGACGCAUCACUGGUGUUCGGGUUGUCAUGCCAAUGGCACUGCCCGGUAGCUAAAUGCGGAAGAGAUAAGUGCUGAAAGCAUCUAAGCACGAAACUUGCCCCGAGAUGAGUUCUCCCUGACUCCUUGAGAGUCCUGAAGGAACGUUGAAGACGACGACGUUGAUAGGCCGGGUGUGUAAGCGCAGCGAUGCGUUGAGCUAACCGGUACUAAUGAACCGUGAGGCUUAACCUU